CUUACAUUGACAAAGCAAUCAUGAAACUGCAUGCGGAGGAGAGCAGCUACAAUUGUAGGAUCCCUAGAGAACCAUGCUCUGAUAACACCACCCACAAUCGCCUCCACGUCGACCGUGCGACAUUUUCCUCGAUAGAACCCUACUUGUAAUGCACCAUUGCACGACCCAGAAAAGGCGGCGAAAAUGCAAGCUAAAGCUAAUGUAAUUGCAUAUGCUCUAGACAUUUUCUAAAAAAUGCUUAACUCUUUUCUUUCUUUUUUUGUGAAAGGUAGUGAAUAUUUUUUUUAGUGUUG
rnacentral:lncRNA from 1 species